rnacentral:lncRNA from 1 species
GUUUGUACUAGGAUAUAUUAUAGAAAAAUAUCAUUGUAAGAUGCAAGCAGUCUCUCCCACUCUUUCUGUCCCAUGGCUAGUGGUAGAGAUUGUGGGGGCACAGAAAUGGAGGAAGCUUACUAGAAAGAAACUAUUUAGGGAUGGAGGUCGGUUCCAAGACGACACAUUCCAGACUCGAUUCUCUUAAAGAUGCUUAUUCUGGACCGAGAAGGGUCUUAACUUCAAAUGAGACCUUCCCCUUGUUCGUCUGUCUUGGCAGUGGGCCAAAGACCGGCUCAGAUCACAGACGGAAAGGCCAAAGCACAGUCCAGGCAUGACUCUUCACCUGUUCUGACGAUAUUUUCCAAGUAAAACCAGGCAUUGAGAGCAAGUCAGAGAUGCAUCAGGCGAUUAAUGAAGGCUCAAGACAGAAAAGAUAGAAUUAGAUGAAAAAAAC